rnacentral:ncRNA from 1 species
AGUUUUUAAUUUAGCUUAUAUUUAUGGUGAUUUGAUCAUGCUAGCUAUUGUUUUAAAUAAAUUAAAUUCUAUCUUAAUGGUAGAUUUAAAGUAUACAUUUUAAUUUUAAGCAGUUAUUUAUAUUGUACUAUUUUUAUAAAAAGAUACAGUUACUUUUAUUUUGACUAGCAAAAAUUGUGCCAGCGGCUGCGGUUACACAAUUAGUUAUUGUUAAUUUGUUUAGUGUUGAUAUUUUAAUUUUUAUUUGAGCUAAUGUAUGAUUUAUUUUUAAGGUGAAAUUUAAAAUAUUUUAUUCUUCUUAGGUUGAUUAAUUAUAGGAAAUUUUUGAAUUAAACUAGGAUUAGAUACCCUAUUAUUUAAAAUGUAAAUUUAACUUGAUAUUAUUAGUUUUGAUCUUUAAAUCAAAAGAAUUUGACGGUAAUUUGAUCAUUUCAGAGGAACCUGUCCUUUAAUUGAUAAUCCACGAUAAAUUUUACCUCAAUUGUGAAUUUGUAUAUCUCUGUUUAUUGAGUGUUUUAUUAGAAUUAUUCUCUUAUUUUAUAUUUAAUAAUUUAUAUCAGGUCAAGGUGCAGUUAUAUUGAGGUUUGAGAUGGGUUACAUUAAAUUUACUAUUUAUGGAUCAAGAUAUAAAUUGUAUUAUUCUUGUGAAAUUGGAUUUGAAUGUAAUUAUAUAUUAUAUUUUUAUAAUGAUAUUUGUUCUUGGUUAAGUACACAUCGCCCGUCGCUCUCAUUCAUUAAAAUGAGAUAAGUCGUAACAAAGUAGGUUUAUCGGAAGAUGAGCCUGGAUUUUAUA